UGCAGCUGAGCAGCUAAUUAGUUAUCUAUCCUAACAGUAACCUGUUGAGUUUUCUUCUCAACAAGUAUAGUGAUUGUGGCAGAUUAGGUUUUUUUCUUCCGGCCCCUUAAAUUGUCACCAGGUUGGAUUCAGUGAUUCAUUGGCGCCCUAAUUACUCGAAUGGAUGUUUCCUACCUCUUCCUGGUCCCUGGUUUCUGUGCUGUGUGUCCGCAGUUCCCCAGCCAUUGUAAGUAAUUGAGCCACGGCUUUGCGGCUCUCACCCUCCUGCUGUUUUGGAAGCUACGCCUCCGCUCUCUGGUACUUGUAGGCCAGGCUGUGCACCACAGUGGGUGGCCCUCUCCAACUUCCCGGUGCAACUGCUGUUUUGUCUCUAUGUCUCUACUCUG